UACGAAGGGGGCUAGCGUUGCUCGGAAUCACUGGGCGUAAAGCGCACGUAGGCGGAUUGCUAAGUCAGGGGUGAAAUCCUGGAGCUCAACUCCAGAACUGCCUUUGAUACUGGUGAUCUUGAGUCCGGGAGAGGUGAGUGGAACUGCGAGUGUAGAGGUGAAAUUCGUAGAUAUUCGCAAGAACACCAGUGGCGAAGGCGGCUCACUGGCCCGGUACUGACGCUGAGGUGCGAAAGCCAGGGGAGCAAACGGG
rnacentral:rRNA from 1 species